CCAGAUGCUUCUUCUUCUUCUUCUUGUGGCGGUAGCGGUCAUCCCGUUGGCGAAUUCGCAUGACCUGCAUCCUCCUUUGCUGACGACUAAUGAUGACUGGGGAGGAGGAAGGAGGCCCAAUUAGAAUGCUGUCUUGUCAGUGUUUUUCAACAUGAGAAAAAUCUCAGUGCAAACAUCCCAAAAGGUACGACAGCUACGCUUCUGAAAGGAUUAACCCCAGAAUUAGGGCACAGCUAACGUCAUGUCUCCUC